CAAAUCAUGGCGAAUCUCGUGUUUCGCGAGGUUGCGUCCAUUUUCGUAUUUAAAACAUCCCACACUUUAAAAAAUUUUAUUUAAUAAUAAAAUAAAAAGA
rnacentral:misc_RNA from 1 species